GCCGCCGCCACUCCCCUCCCUCCCCUCCCCCAGGCACCCGCCCGCCUCCAACUCCUGGGAACUCGGAACGCACCACCCCGCCCGCGCGGGAGGGGGGAGAGGAAGCCGACCCUCGCGGCCGCCGCCGCCGCCGCCGCCGCCGCUCGCCCCGCGCGACUCGGCUCGGGCUCCCGUCCGGCCGCCGACUGCGCGCCGCGUCCCCUCCCGCCCCGCCCUCCCACACGCGCCCCUCCCCUUCCAGAAAAAAAAAAAAAAAAAAAAAAUCUCAGCUCUCCACUUUGAUAACGGGUUUCUCCCUAAGCAGGGCUUUCGGGCGGACUGGAAAAUCCGGACGAGGAUGCCUUGGUCUCUGUCCAUUACUUCCUACAGAUUGAUCAAAACUGAGGACCUCGUCAGGGCAAUGAUGAGCUAAAAAGCAUGGCAGUGUCUCCUCUGGUGUCUGCCUUAUGGUGAGUUCUAACACUGCACACUACUAAACCGUCUUCCUCACUUUGCCUAUGUAGGCCCUUCUAGAAGUACAGGACAGAAGAAAAAGUGUGUUGAAUGUGCCUGUGCUUGGGUGUCUGGGAGUGGUGGGGAGUAUGUGAGCACGCCGAGAGAUGUUGGUGAAGGAACAUUUGGCAUGCUUCUUCUACAUCUGUUGGAAAGAGCCAGCCAAGCCACCUGUUGUAUUUCAAUUCCCCAUUCCUCAGGGACCUGGCUGCUUGCAGCAAAAGGUUUAAGAUAGCAGAAAUCCACAAAAAUAGAGAAGUUAUAGGUCACCCAGUUCUUUACACCGGGGAUCCCCAUCAGACCAUUCUCUGCAGUAUGCUCUUUAGUACAAUACAGAGCAUUUCUAAAACAGUGAGCUCUUUGUCUAUCUCAGUUUAAAACAUUCUAAGGGACAAAGGUUUAACUCUCUUCUAAGGGAGAUGAAUCCAAAAAUCCCAUUGUUUACAAGGUCAAGAAAUGUGUCCCUGAUUGUCAGCCGACAGAGUCACUUUCAGAACUUCCUAGUAUUCUCCACCUCAUUCCUUUUGUACCUUGGGUCUUGAAUGGAGAAGGCUCUGACUUAUUUUGGCCCAUAAAAUGCCCUGCAGGAUGUCUCAACACAUUGAAGAAAGGUUUAAUCUAUUUCUGUUAAAACCUGGAGAAAACUUUUCACCUCUCUCUAGGAGCUACUAACCCUGGGAUGCUCUCUUUUUCUCUCUCGUUUUCUGUUACCUGUUCUGUCUUUCUUACAGUGACCACAGAUUCUAAGUAUUAUUUCUGUUAGCUUGUUUUACAGUGACCACAGUUUCUAAGUAUUAUUUCUGUUAGCUUGUUUUUGAAUUUUUCUUUUCUUUUUUCUUUUCUUUUCUCCUUUUCUUUUCUUUUCUUUCUUUUCUUUUUUUCUCUUCUCUUCCCUUCACUCCCCUUCUCUUUUCAUUUUUCUUUUCUUUUCCUUCCUUCCUUCCUUCCUUCCUUCCUUCCUUCCUUCCUUCCUUCCUUCCUUCCUUCCUUUCUUCCUUCCUUCCUUCCUUCUUUCCUUCAUAAAGCUUUAUGGUAAAAAUGUAAAUGUUGCUUUCCCAAUUUUCUAAUCCAGAGAGUCUUUCUUAGUCCAACAGAGAAAUUCAGAGGUGAUCUGUUCCAACUCCUUCAUUUUUAACACCAGUGACUAAUACUCAGAGUGAGGAAGUGGUUUUCUAGGAAAAAUCAGGAAAAAUUUCAGUGCCGCUAGGCCUAGCCCCAAAAAGUGCCAAUAAUAACUUUUCCCAACAUGCAGAGUGGGACACUGUCUUAGUCCCUAUCUGUCCACAUGGGGAUAAGAACUCCCUAGAUGUGCUAACGUCUUUGAGAACUUACCACGAAGCUCAAAGACAGCGUGGCAGCAGGGAGGUGUAGGAGUUGUCAAGAAUCCCAUACCUGUCUCAACUAGUCUGUUGGAUGUCAAGCUGCCUGCUUUGGGAUGUCCACUUACUUGGUUAUGGAGAUUCAUGGCUCAUUUUAAAGAACAGGGUCCUGAUCCCGACUUAGCUGUAGUGGGUUCUCAGUGUUAAAUAGUUGCACUACUUCUGGCCUCUGUUGGAACAAAGAAUUUAUUUUGAGCUUUUACAACAAGAAGAAGGCCAUGUAGCUCCUUCUGUAGUGCAAGCAAGUGGCCCAUAUACCUCAGUCAUUACCCAUUAGGCUCAGGAACCUCCUAGCAUUCAAAUAGUCUGACUGUCUAGGCUACCACCAAUCAGCUCCUAGCCUUGAGACCAAUUAAUCUCUUUAAGACUCAGGUUUCUUAUCUAUAAAAUGAAAAAAAGAAUAUCAGUACCUACCUCAUAGAAUUGACUUGAGGAUCAGAUAAACUAGUAAGUGAAAAAUACUGUCAUGUUCAAAACAGUAAACAUUAGCUCACAGAUCUUCUUCAACUUACAUGGGAUUACAGCCUGAUAAAUCCAUCAAAAGUUGAAAAUACCGUAAAUUGAAAAUGCAUGUAAUAUAACUAACCUACCAAACAUCUUAGCUUAGCCUAGCCUACCUUAAACGUGCUCAGAACACUUCUAUUAGUCUAUAGUUGGGCAGAUGAUCUCACACAAAACCUAGUUUAUGAUAAAGUGUUGAAUAUCUCGUGUAAUUUAUUGAGUGCUAUACUGAAAGUGAGAAACAGAAUGGUCGUAUGAGUACAGAAUGGUUGUAAGUGUUUCAGUUGCUCACCCUUGUGAUCUCCUGGCUGUCUGAGACUCUGGCUCGCUGCCACUGCCCAGCAUCACAAGAGAGUUAUCUUACCGCAUGUGGCUAGCCUGGAAAAAUAUCAAAAUUCAAAAUUCAAAUUAUAGUUUUACUGAAUAUGUAUAGCUUUUGCUCCAUUGUAGAGUCAAAAAAUCUUAAGUUGAACUAUUAUAAAUUGGGGACCAUCUCUUUUUUUUUAAUUCAAGGUGCCCUGAAUAAAAAUGGAGUCACUCUGAGAAAUCUGCCGUAUUUCACUGUCACUGGCCACGGCUGGACUCUAGCCCUCUAAACAGUAUUACAACCUUGCUCAGGUAUUUCUGAGAAGGCGACAUGGGUGUGUUUUUCAGACACUCAUGAGCAUCAGUGCAUUUGUGCAGCCCUGUUGCCUCUUCUAGGGGCUGCUGUUGCCACUGAAACUGAGGGUUAUCUUGUAGUGAAUUGAGGCAGGAGAAAUGCCUCUCUUAUAUUUUGGGGGUUGUCCUUUAUUAGAAGUCCUUCCAAAGUAGUAACUUACACUCCCUUGUCUUUUAGUUUCUACUCACAGCGUCUUAGAACCUGAAUAUGAGUUCCUAGAAGGCUGGAAUGGCAGAAACCAAGCUAGUUCAUCAGUUGAGCCUUUGGGUCUGAUUCCCUCUUAGCAAGAAUUCUCUUCCAAGAGGUUCCACAGUCUCCAAGACAAAAACACAUUGGCAGCCAGGUUCCUAGUCCCCGACUCCCCAGGCAUGUUUGAAUUUCAGCUGCGGGGCCCUUGCCAGUGGUGAUUUAACCUGAAAUGGCAAAAUUCAUAUCAAUAAUGCUCAUCUGAGUGAAAUUAAGGAAGAUGUUAACUCAUUUAAGGGGAGGAAAGUAAGGCACAAUGUAUGUGACCAGCCACUAUGCGAGUCAUAACUUCUCCCAGGCAUUAAUACGUACCACACAGGAAAGCUAUGGGACUUUGCUUUUUGAUCUUAACAGCAAAAUCCUCUAUCUGUCUCAGAAUGGCUAAUUGAAAAAUCCAGUCUGCCUAAGGCCUGUCAGGAUUUAAAUGACUAGUAUUGGUUCUCAUUUUUUGCCUCAACUUUCAGCAUCUCUUAAAGCUGCCACUUACUAAUGGGCUAGGUGUGGGAGAUGCCAGGGAUAACAAGGAAGUGAUUUGUCAGCUUAAAGGAUGUCACUGGUCAUCAAAGAGUCCCUGUUCUUUGUGUGAGCUGUAAAAUCCAUCUGAGUCACAAAUUCAGACGGGUGACACUUGGUAUAUCCACAGAAAUUGAACAUUUAUGCCAAUUACAGACUCUGUACAUGAGGAAGAACAGAACUGAUUUAGCCACUAGACAGUAACUCACCUUAGGGCUCUGAAAAAAAAAAGCAUAAUAUUAAGUAACAACCAAAAAUAGAAACUAAAUUCGACCUAAUUCCAAUCUGCUGCCAUCACUCUAUUCCUUAAGGGUUGUGGAGACAAAUCCUCACAAAGAGAUGGACUACCUAAAAUAAGUUAAUUGGAAUUUUGUGAAGCAGACAUAUGAAUAUAUAUAUAUAC
rnacentral:lncRNA from 1 species